GAUGAAGAACGCAGCGAAAUGCGAUAAGUAAUGUGAAUUGCAGAAUUCAGUGAAUCAUCGAAUCUUUGAACGCACAUUGCGCCCGCCAGUAUUCUGGCGGGCAUGCCUGUUCGAGCGUCAUUUCAACCAUCAAGCCCCCGGCUUGUGUUGGGGACCUGCGGCUGCCGCAGGCCCUGAAAAGCAGUGGCGGGCUGGCUGUCACACCGAGCGUAGUAGCAUACAUCUCGCUCUGGGCGUGCUGCGGGUUCCGGCCGUUAAACCACCUUCAUAACCCAAGGUUGACCUCGGAUCAGGUAGGAAGACCCGCUGAACUUAAGCAUAUCAAUAAGCGGAGGA
rnacentral:misc_RNA from 1 species